AGAAUCUAGUGAAAGUGUCCUGGAACGUUGAGGGAAUUUGACAAAUGGAUUCAAAUACUCUUUGCUCCCUUCAUGGAAGAUUAUUGGACUUGUUGGCAAGGAGAAACUGUCACACUGCUAGGAGACAAGAAGACAAGUGCAACUGAUUGUAUGACCAUGAUUCUCAUUCUGUCAUAUUCAUUGUGAGUGGAGGGAGGCAUGUGCUGAAGUUGAAGCUGAAGUCUUUCUGCUUCUCCAAAAAUGAAUGUGUCAAGCAAAAGUGUGGUACAAAAUCAAGAUUUGAAAAGCCGUUGCACAGAGAAUUUUCCCCUUACUUUACUCGUACAAAAAUUGAUUACCUGAAUCUAAGCUUGUUCAAAGAUGUGCGGUAACCAACUCUAUAAAAAGCUCUCGCAGGAGACAAUCUUCAAGUAAUCGGAUUCAAGCCGGAAAGCAACUGUGCUGACAAGGUUGAAAAUUGGAGAAGGUAGCCUACUUGGAUUGGACCUGGUUAGGGAGCUAUACUCUCCUGAAGUGGCUGCUCAAAUUUUAACUACCUGUAUCUGAAGGUGAGGAGUUACUGAUACACUGAUAUGGCCUCAUGUAACACAUGCACGAUAUUUGAUCAAAAUAGCCUGCAAUGCUGCAUGCAUUGGAAGUAAGGGAUCACGUAAUGGAUUCUCAUCAGAGUUUCAUGGCUCCUAGAUGGAGAAAUCUGUGGAGCUUGAAGCUUUCUUUGAAUAUGUGUUUUUGUGUGGAAGUGUUGGCAAGAGUACGUGGCCACUAAAACAGAUUAGUAGAAAUGAAACAUAGUGGAUUAUACUAAGUAUGCUUUGAUUAUUUAUUCCCAAAGUGCAGUCUUGCUCGGUCUGUAUGGUUUGGGUCAGAUUUGACCCAUAGAACCAAUUUCAUUUUGUCCUUCCUCUUUGUAGCAAUGGUUGGCUCAAUAGAUGGAGGA